rnacentral:lncRNA from 1 species
UCCAGCCUGGAUGACAGAGCAAAACUCCAUCUCAAAAAAAAAAAAAAACUGGAACCAUCUUGGAUAAAAUGUACGACAAAGUACUGAUGAGUUUAAUGUUAACAGAACUAGAAGUCAGCAAGAAGACCAGCAACAAGCCUUCGGAUAAGUGAGUUCUUCAUUAGCUUUAAGAGAGUGGGAGCAGAGGAAACGGGUACCGUGAGGGCAGACCUGCUUUCAAGAACAGAUGAACAGCGGCUGAGAAUGACUCCAAGAGGUCGCAGGAGCAGAGCUGCAUUUCAGUGGCAGCUUGAACCAAGAUCUAGAUGUCCAUUUGGAGUGAGUGUCAAGAAAUACCACGUAAGAAAAGAGAGCAGUGCCGUCCUGCCACCACUGUGUGUGCGGCCCGUGUACGUGUGAAUAACGACGGCUCAACUCCAGAAUGGAGUUCUGGAAGGCUGCGAGCAGGCCAGGCACAGUGGCUCACACCUGUAAUCCCAGCAC